UAUUUUUUUUUUAAAUGUUCCUUUAGCAUGAAAAAGCUUAAUUGGAAUUAAGUUUGAUAAAUUUCUUUCGUUUGUCUUAUUAAAACAUCCUGUAGUAUAAUCGUCAUAAUAUAAGAAUUCAAGCAGCUUUAAUAAUGUUUAUACCUUCAUUGUUAUUGCUAUUUCUGCAGAAUAAGGCAAUAGAAUUUAAUGUCUUUUUUAUCAAAUUUACCAGCACCGUUAUCAAUGAAAUAAUAAUAUUACAUGCCUUUCUGGGUGUGUCGUUCAUUUCACUGUAGACCAUCAAAUUGCAAAGAGUUUUCAGUAGUAAGAAAGUGAAAACAAUGGCUCCAGUUAGUAAGAGUGAGGUGAAAAAGUGUUGCAAGAAGUGUGUCAGGGCUACAAAGCUAACGGCAGCAAAAAAAUUAAAGAAAAAAGUGCUGUGCAAGUAUUACAAGAAGUGCUACAAGAAAACGGGUCCGAAUGGAGAAAUUCAAGUUAAAAAGAUUUGCAAAAGGUGGCGAAGGGUCUCAGCAAGAAGAAGUAACAAGAGGGGAUCCUGCAAGUAUAAUAAGAAAUACCAGAAGAAGAGCAAAUACGCUUCUACCAAGCAAACUCUAUCUUAUGAAGACGAUGAUCGUUCUCACAUUGAAGAAGUUGAUGGGGAUGAGCGUCGUAUUUCACCGCAGACCUUGUUUCGGCUUAUCUUCAUCAUUUAUCUGAUUUGCGUUUUGAUUUAUGUGAAUUAUUGGUGAGAAUUGUGGAGGGACAACAUAAGAAGACAUGUACUAUUAAACAUCAAAACUUUUAGUUCAUUUAGAUUAGUAUUUUGGGGUUUAGAUUUAGUGGGUCUAUAUGCAAUGGUUUUCAAAAGUCUGAAAUUUUUUAACAAUAUAAAGUAUAAUUUUAUAGACUUUUGAAAGACACGGUAUAUUUCAUUAUUUUGUUUAUUUCAAUUUUUUUUUUAAAUAAAAAUAUUUGUAAUAUUAUUUCUGGUAGCGUUUUAUUAAUUAUUGUA